rnacentral:rRNA from 1 species
GAUGAACGCUGACAGAAUGCUUUACACAUGCAAGUCGGACGAGUGGCGAACGGGUGAGUAAUAUAUUGGAACGUACCGAGUAAUGGGGGAUAACCAAUCGAAAGAUUGGCUAAUACCGCAUAUUAUUCGAGCGGCCGAUAUCUGAUUAGCUAGUUGGUGGGGUAAAGGCCUCCCAAGGCGACGAUGAGUAGCGGGUCUGAGAGGAUGAUCCGCCACACUGGGACUGAGACACGGCCCAGACGCCUACGGGAGGCAGCAGUGGGGAAUUUUGGACAAUGGGCGCAAGCCGGAUCCAGCCAUGCCGCGUGUCUGAAGAAGGCCUGAGGGUUGUAAAGGACUUUUGUUAGGGAAGCGGUACCUAAAGAAGAAGCACCGGCUAACUACGUGCCAGCAGCCGCGGUAAUUC